UGGACCACAAGUAUGGGGCCGGUGUGUUUAUCUAAAGAAGGCCGUGUGUAAUCUGAUCUUGGGCAAGGAUGGAUGACCUGAUCCAUAGGUGAUGGAUCAAGGUGUCUGAUCUGAUUGAUUAAGGGAUGCACCGGUUGUAAGAGCAAGAUUGAUCGGGUUCAGUGGGACAUGGUUCCAUGGCCGGUUAGGUAAGUGUGAAGAUUCAUCAGUUCUGAGUCAUGUGGGGUGGUUGGUUGAUUGACUUAGGAUCCGAUGGGCAUUAUUAGUCCAUGAGAGGACUUGGCUCCAGGGGAGCAUACGCUUAAUACUUGAUAUCACUGAACCAUGGCCUUGGCCGGUUCAGGGGUGAUGUCCAUGGCCUUGGCCGGACUGAUCAUGAUCGGGAUCCAUAUGAUCUGGGUCGAUUCAUUGGAUUCCGAUUAUGGGAAUCUCUUAGUUGGGAUUUAUCAUGAGUUUUCAUGAAUUUUAAUUAAUUUUUGGAGCACUUUUGGAAGUGGCCAGAAAUAUAGCUGAAGACUUCCCAAAGGUACUUGGUCUGUGGGGAUGGUUGGCUGAGUGACUAAGUACCAAAGGGAAGAAUUUAUGCAGGUAUAAGAGAGCUGUACGAGUAGACGGGGAGCUGGUCGAAGCUACCUCGCAGCUUUAUCAGCUGGAAGAGAGUGAUGGAACCUCAAGUGAAGUGGUUCAGCUCAGCUAGCUGGAUGAGCUAGCUAAACAGCUAAGUCAGCUGGGACAAUGAGCUAACAAGCUCCGUGGAUGUGGCAAAGGUAUGAUCUAGCAAUGUUGCAUAGAUCUAGAUAGAAUGGUUAGGGGAAUGGAACCUCAUGUUUGUAUGACUUGAUUUGGGUUCAGGAUCAACCCUAGAGCUAGCUGGUAGUUGAGUAUACUAACCAUUAGCUGAGGUGAUUCGACCAUACAAGUAUUAUAUUGGUUGUAGACAAAUGGUUAAGUAGAGAAUAUCCGCUGCGUAUGAGUUGAAAUGAUCUAAGCUAGAAAUGACUAAGGUAGUCUUAAGCUAAGGUCUAAGUGAGCCUCGCCUUAUGGGCGACAUUAUAAUAAAGCGCGAAAUUUUGAUAGGUUCGGUCAUGGUAUGGACCGAGCGACGUGAGAUAUCGACCGCGGCUUAGGGAGCCGGGUCGGGGCCUUACAAGUUGGUAUCAGAGCAUGCUUGAUUCUAGGAUGUUUUGGUUGUGGUUGUUCACCCACACAUCCAGACAAGUGGAUGCUAAUAGGGUUAAUCCGCCAGUUUUGUUGCCGACUCAGCUGGAGAAGGUUAACAAUGGAGCUGGCUUGCCUAUCGGUCAGCUCGACCCUUCUGAGGUUUGAGUUGGAUGAGCUAAGCUGCAGCUGGAACAAGAGUUGGAAAGGGGAAGCUGAAUCCUUUCAUGUUGGGAACCGGUCUGAUCCGAACAUUGUUGCAAACGAUGGGAAGACUUACCGGUGGAUCAGACAGCUGCUCCGACCGCUGAUGGUCGAGAUUGAUCCACCAGCUAGGACAGCUUGGAAGGUGGACUACUUGAGUGUUGCUGGAGCACAUAGCUCAAAUGAGAGCUAAGCAUUUCUCAGGUAGUGUGGAUCUUAUUGAGGCAGAUGAGUGGAGGAGCCGGUUGAUUCACAACUUCAGCUCAACUCACUGCUCAAAGAUAUUAUGUUCCAAACCGAAAUUAUUUCUGAAAACUGAGAUAACUAUGGAACCUUAGCUGUGGUGAGCCAAGUGGGAGUUGAGGUUAGGUUGGGUUUUCAUGCUUGUGAACGGGGAAGUUCCAAGAUGAGCCGGCUUAGCCAAGAUGCACUCUCCAGGGGAAAGACCCUGAAAACAGAAAGGUUAGUUUAUCUAGUUAUUUGGGAGUAAUAGACGGAUUGGACGAUGGACGCAAUGCAAGAUCUUUGUACGGACGACCUGGAUAAGGGUAGUAACAUGGACCAGAGAGUGGCUUAGGUUGAAAGAAACGUGCAGCACUCUCUUGGAGGUAAAUGUUAUCCCUUGGUGGCCGUCCAAAACAAGUAAGCAUAUGCAGUGUUCAUGUUGGUCUAAGGGAGACACUACAUGUCUAGUACAUGAGUGGGCUUGUGAUCAGAUGGAUCAGCUUGGACUCAGUAUAAGUCAAGGUAGGAUUCCUUAAGAUUGAGUGAACGGAAUGGAUCAAUUCCAAGAGGAAUUGGAAACACGAUGUUAAGUAUUUUUGUAUGAUGGGGAUUGAGGAUAUUAUAAAUACUUCUUCACAGAAGUGUGGCACAUUGGAGAAUGGUAUGGGACGUUUUCCAGAUGUGUGAUCAAACCAAAAUCCUACUCAUCUAGGUACUUAAUGAUCGGAAAGGGUUUGUUCCAGAUGGGAACAGGGGAUUGUCUUGUCAUAGUGAAUGAAGCCGGUGAGGGUAAUGGAUUCACUAAGGCUGGAAAGAGACAUCCUGGUAUUGAUCACAGUCAGGGUAAUGCCUGUGGAUCUGAUUGUUGUCCGCCUUGAGAAUCACAAGGUGAUAGGCAUGGACUGGCUUGGAAAGAAUCAGGCCACCUUGGACUGUCACUGGAGUUGGGUGCAGUUUGAGAGUGGGUGUGGACCCCCGAUCAGGUUCCAAAGUAUUUGUCCGACCUCUGGAUGCUUAGUGAUAUCAGCAAUCCAAGUGGAAAAGAUGCUUGAGAAGGGUUGUGAGCCUUACUGGCCACAAUCGCCACUAAGGAGGUUGAAGGGGCUGGUGACCCGGACGGGAUUCCUCUGGUUGGUGAGUUCGAGGACGUGUUUCGGGCACUACAGGGCCUCCCCCCUGAUAGGGCUGAUCCGAGCAUAGCAGAACUGGAACCAGGGACGGCCCCAAUGUCCAAAAGUCCCUAUUGUAUGGCUCCUGCCGAGAUGGCUGAGUUGAAGUCGAUCAAGUCCAGUGAGGGAUGAGGAUCGCAGCACAACCAAGUCGUAGAUUGACCUAUGGUUGGGGUGAGACGGUUGAGUCCUGGAGUGGACCAGAACCGCAAUAUGAUCAAGUCCGGCAAAGGAUGAGGAUCAGGACACGACCUACUCGGAAAUAGACCUAUGGUCGGGGUGUGACGGUCGAGUCCCUGAGUGGACCAGGACUGGAAUAUGAUCACGUCCUAAAUGGACCAGGAUCGAAAUAUGACAAAGUCUUGUUUGGACAGAAGUCAAGUUGAGGCGGUUUAGUCUUGUAGGGACUAAGAUCGUAAUAUGGCCAAGCUGGGAGAGGCUGUGGCUGGUUAAGGAAUUAUCCAGUAAUUGGUGGCUGGAAUCAUAAAGCUUAUUGUCCGGGAAGGACUUAAGGGAACAAAACAAUCUGUUAGGACUCAUGGUAGAGUGAUCAGCCUAAAGAUUGAAACAUGUUCGCUAGGACUUGGCUGGUGCAUCGAGUGUCUUAGAGAUUGGUUGAAUCUACUAAGACUUGAGUACGCAGUAUGUUCCUAGGGACUGAAUUUGAUCUAGUCGUGGACUAAGAUCUGAAAAAGAAUGAAGUCUAGAGUAGACGACAUUCUAAAGAGAGAUAUGGACUUGGUGUCUACAUGGACCGCAACUUGGAGAGUUGGGUCAGUGACACCAGUCAUGUCCUUGUAUGGGUGCUUGAUGGACCACUUAAUAAGAUUUUGGGUUAAAUCUCUAUCAAGUGGGGGAGACAUGUAUAUAUGAUGAUCAAGACGUGAUCAGUGAGAAGGAACAAGGAGGGAGAUGCAAUGAAUUGGUUUGGAAGAACCAAACGAGCAUGCUCCAUGUUCCGGAUGCAAAAAGUUUGAUUGGCACCUUGGCCUUGAAGUAGGGCGUCAGCACCACCGGAUUUCAGGACGGAUCCAUUCUAAGUGGGGGAGACUUGUAGCAUCCCCGAUCCUGGAUAGGAUCAUCCGGACAGACCUUAGUGCGAGGAGACGCACCAGUCAGGUCACAUGACCUAAAGACAAGCGUGUCAUGGUCCAAAACGUGGUUAAGGGAAUCAGGUAGCUGGAACUUAACCAAAAUAAGGCAGAGGCAAGCUCAAAGGAGCUGGACAAGCAAGCCGGUAGCUGGACGAGAUCCGGGUGAAGCUUGAUGAAGUGAAUGAUCAGAACGGAUCAUGGGCAGGAACAAGGAGGGAGAUGCAAUGAAUUGGUUUGGAAGAACCAAACGAGCAUGCUCCAUGUUCCGGAUGCAAAAAGUUUGAUUGGCACCUUGGCCUUGAAGUAGGGCGUCAGCACCACCGGAUUUCAGGACGGAUCCAUUCUAAGUGGGGGAGACUUGUAGCAUCCCCGAUCCUGGAUAGGAUCAUCCAGACAGACCUUAGUGCGAGGAGACGCACCAGUCAGGUCACAUGACCUAAAGACAAGCGUGUCAUGGUCCAAAACGUGGUUAAGGGAAUCAGGUAGCACCCGUGUGUGCCGAUGGGCUGGUGGGCUCUUGGGAUUGAGCCAGGAGCAUGGGCAAUCCUUGUAGGCUUGUUUUGGACAGGUCCAGGAGUGGUUUGACAGUUCCAGGACGUCUGGCAACUGCCAUAGGCGAAAGGGUGCAAUCUGUACCAUUGAUUAAAUCAAUGGCCAGAAAUGAUACCGAAAGGGUGUAACCUUUGAAAAGGUAACUGCCCCUUCUUCUAUAAAAGGCAGGCAAGUCCGUGCCUUUGCAGGCACGCCAGAGCUUCCUCCUAAACCCUGAAACACAAAGAAACACAGAGAAAAGACAGAUAGUUGGUCGGAUUCUCAAUCCAAGACCCAUGGUGGUGUGAAGGCCACAAAGAGGCAGUUUUCACCACUGAUGAACACGUCUUAGGCUUCCUCCACAUCUUGGAAACACAUGCAAAUACCUAGGAGAGAAGGGAGAAGGCCGGACUUCACUCUUAAAGGCAUGAACAGCCUUGAAGGCGGAUGCAGUGUAGAAACUGGUUUCUUGGAAGUUCCAUGGAAGGGAUCAGGUGUGCGACCCAUGAAUGGUUCUUAUCAAUACAGGAGGUAUGUGAUAAGGAUUGAUAGAGGCGUGCACUGGAGGAGCAUGGCCGAACAUAAUAAGGAAAGGCACUUGAUCUAAUCAGAUCAUGUAUAAGGUAACUGAUUUUAUAAUUACUUUCAAGGUUAUGUUUCUGUCUCUUGUGGUGCGGUUAAGGCCAAGUAUGGCACGCCCCUUGAAGACCAUAUGUUGUGAUGUAAACUAAGGAUCCAUGACCCUGAGAUAAGGGGCGGAUCUUAGGUGAUCUAACUCAUCCAUGUGGGGUGGAAGUUAGAGGCCACUCAUUGGAUAGUGAUCCAUGGUGGAUCAUGGUGUGUGUUAGUUCUGAUCAUGGUGUGAAUCAAUGAUCCGAAUCAUGGAGGAGACACAUGGGGAUCCUAGUACAUGAGGAACCAUGUGGAGUGUAAGGUCCAAUUCAUUUGGAACCAGCAACAAGACGUGGAGGCGAGUAAGGCCAGUACUAAGUGGCAUGGACCACAAGUAUGGGGCCAGUGUGUUUAUCUAAAGAAGGCCGUGUGUAAUCUGAUCUUGGGCAAGGAUGGAUGACCUGAUCCAUAGGUGAUGGAUCAAGGUGUCUGAUCUGAUUGAUUAAGGGAUGCACCGGUUGUAAGAGCAAGAUUGAUCGGGUUCAGUGGGACAUGGUUCCAUGGCCGGUUAGGUAAGUGUGAAGAUUCAUCAGUUCUGAGUCAUGUGGGGUGGUUGGUUGAUUGACUUAGAAUCUGAUG
rnacentral:lncRNA from 1 species